UGGGGAAUUUUGGACAAUGGGCGAAAGCCUGAUCCAGCAAUGCCGCGUGUGAAGAAGGCCUUCGGGUUGUAAAGCACUUUUGUCCGGAAAGAAAUCCUUGGCUCUAAUACAGUCGGGGGAUGACGGUACCGGAAGAAUAAGCACCGGCUAACUACGUGCCAGCAGCCGCGGUAAUACGUAGGGUGCAAGCGUUAAUCGGAAUUACUGGGCGUAAAGCGUGCGCAGGCGGUUUGCUAAGACCGAUGUGAAAUCCCCGGGCUUAACCUGGGAACUGCAUUCGUGACUGCAAGGCUAGAGUAUGGCAGAGGGGGGUAGAAUUCCACGUGUAGCAGUGAAAUGCGUAGAGAUGUGGAGGAAUACCGAUGGCGAAGGCAGCCCCCUGGGCCAAUACUGACGCUCAUGCACGAAAGCGUGGGGAGCAAACAGGAUUAGAUACCCUGGUAGUCCACGCCCUAAACGAUGUCAACUAGUUGUUGGGGAUUCAUUUCCUUAGUAACGUAGCUAACGCGUGAAGUUGACCGCCUGGGGAGUACGGUCGC
rnacentral:rRNA from 1 species